GUGACUGUACCAGUGAUCACCCAUGGUUCUCUUUCUCUCUCUUCCAGGUUACUCCUACCCUAUCUCAUAUCGGAACAUUGGGGACAAUGUUCGAUUUAAGUGUGGGAGGAGAUUUUUAUCGUUUUUUAUUGCUUUUCUUUAUUUUUAGUAUGUUUUGUGCGUUUUUAGUUGUUUGCUUUUCCUUUUAAUAAAAUAACAUGUGUUUGACGAGUCAUCUGUGUAGUGUAUCCAUAUUUCUCUCAUUUCUUUAACCUUAUCAAAAAAAAUUUGUGAGCAAAGAAAACAGUGCAUCUUGAAUAUUCAGGCUAUAAGACAGGUUUAUGACGGGAUGUAAAAGACUUGGGAAAAGUUUUUCUAAAAAUCGGUAUUGUCUUAACACCGCAGGCUUCAUGAUUAUAAGAGUCGAUNNN
rnacentral:lncRNA from 1 species